CAAGACAUGCCGAGGGCAAGGAUAGUCCGGAGUGGGGUGGGGGGAGGGUGAAUGGGUGCCAGUUGCAGCUUGGAUACAACUACUGAGAGGGCUAUAGUUUACCCUUUAGCCUUGAGAUACUCAGGAAAUAAGGCUAGCGAAAAUUCUGGAGUGCUGUUCACAGGUGGAAAAACUUCCCCUAAGAAGAGCGUGGAUCUGAGCAGUAGGAGAGAAGGACCAUAAUUGUUACCCUGGUGCUCUGCAAAGAGGGAUCUUUCCUCAGCACCAGAGCCAUCCCCAGCUUCUGUGAAUAUGACCUGCUGGUUUCUCACAGCUAUGUCCCUCAUCAGGCAUUGGCCUUGGGAACAGGGAACUGCUCACCCAAGGCUAUGUGCCUUCCCAGAGAGUGGCCUGCAACCAGUGAUGGGCUGAUGUGAGCACACAAGGACUGGUCUCUUUUCCUCUUCCUGUCGGGAGCUCAGCCGGUUUGGAGAAUGGAGCUCGAGUGCCCUGCAGCUGGCCUGUUGUGUGAACAGUGAGCAUAUUACCGGAGUGAAUUUUUCAAUAGAAUGAUGAUUCUUCUUGAUGGAAACACUUUGCUGCAGUUUUUUCCAUGAUAAGCAGCAUUGCAUUCUGGGAAUCCAGCCAGCUCCAGUGGAGAACUGGGCAAUAUGGAAAUUGCAGUGAGCACGAUACACAAGAUCACAGUUCUGUUAACAGCAAAGACUUAAUCAUUGCCUGGUCAAUGUGUUUGGAUACAAUAAAAGACCCUUGUUUUUACCUGUGUGUGACAGUGCAUCAACCUGAAAGAACAGGAAAAGCUGCUGCGGUGAGAAACUUGACAUCCAAGGGAUGUACCAUGUGCAAGUUUACAAGUUGUUGGAUUUCAAAUGGCAUGAGAGGAAGCCCUGUGGGCUGGAAGUUGACAUGUCAUUCUGUAGCCCUUUGCCUGACAUUCUUUAAACAUCUGCUCACACGCAAAAGACACUGUUCUCCAAAUUAUUAUUUUACCUCCAGGCUAGUAACAGUAUCAUCUUCCUGAAUGACACCUCCACCACAUCCACUCUUGUCAGGAAGAAGCCUUUUUAAUUCUCCAAAGCUCAAAGCCCACGAUGUUCUAUACAGUGACCUUGAAGGACUGAUCACCCCUUCGUACUUGCCAACUACAGAUUCAUUUCUAUUGUUCAGUCCAGAGGAAACUGUCAAGGAACUAUGGAUUCAUGUAAGUCUCUCUGAUGGGCUAAGGCACUUUAAAUUUAUUCGCAGAUGAAUUUGUUGAUGACUAAUAUUGUGAUGAGAAUUAUAGAACAUGAGGCUAUUUAAAAUUCUACUAGAAAACGUGUGCAGAACAUCAGGAGAGAUGAAUGGAUUUGCCUCCAUGUAAUAACUGCAAAAUUAUUAAAGAAAAAAAUAGAUGUUAAACUGUUCUAUUUUGUUAACUAACCAAGAGAAAAAGAGCCAAAGACUGAAUUUGAGGAUUGGCCUCAAACAGUUUCCUGUAAUGAAAAUUAGGAUGAGAGAGAAGCAAUCCAAACGCGAUGAGAACCAACUUUUAUUUAAAUAAAGUUGUUGAAAGCUGAGAG
rnacentral:lncRNA from 13 species